CGGUGUUUGGCACCUCGAUGUCGGCUCAUCACAUCCUGGGGCUGAAGUCGGUCCCAAGGGUAUGGCUGUUCGCCAUUUAAAGUGGUACGCGAGCUGGGUUUAGAACGUCGUGAGACAGUUCGGUCCCUAUCUGCCGUGGGCGUUUGAGAAUUGAGAGGGGUUGCUCCUAGUACGAGAGGACCGGAGUGAACGAACCGCUGGUGUUCGGGUUGUCAUGCCAAUGGCAUUGCCCGGUAGCUACGUUCGGAACUGAUAAGCGCUGAAAGCAUCUAAGCGCGAAGCAGGCCUCGAGAUGAGUUCUCACUAGACUUUUAAAGUCUCUGAAGGGCCGUUGAAGACUACAACGUUGAUAGGCAAGAUGUGGAAGUGGUGUGAGCCAUUAAGCUAACUUGUACUAAUUACCCGUGAGGCUUAACCAUACAACGCCAAACGCGUUU
rnacentral:rRNA from 1 species